GACGAACGCUGGCGGCGUGCUUAACACAUGCAAGUCGAACGCUGAAGCUCAGCUUUUGUUGGGUGGAUGAGUGGCGAACGGGUGAGUAACACGUGAGUAACCUGCCCUCUUCUUUGGGAUAACGCCCGGAAACGGGUGCUAAUACUGGAUAUUCACUGAUCUUCGCAUGGGGGUUGGUGGAAAGGUUUGUUCUGGUGGGGGAUGGGCUCGCGGCCUAUCAGCUUGUUGGUGGGGUGAUGGCCUACCAAGGCUUUGACGGGUAGCCGGCCUGAGAGGGUGACCGGUCACAUUGGGACUGAGAUACGGCCCAGACUCCUACGGGAGGCAGCAGUGGGGAAUAUUGCACAAUGGGCGAAAGCCUGAUGCAGCGACGCCGCGUGAGGGAUGGAGGCCUUCGGGUUGUAAACCUCUUUCGCUCAUGGUCAAGCCGCGACUUUGGUUGUGGUGAGGGUAGUGGGUAAAGAAGCGCCGGCUAACUACGUGCCAGCAGCCGCGGUAAUACGUAGGGCGCGAGCGUUGUCCGGAAUUAUUGGGCGUAAAGGGCUUGUAGGCGGUUGGUCGCGUCUGCCGUGAAAUUCUCUGGCUUAACUGGGGGCGUGCGGUGGGUACGGGCUGACUUGAGUGCGGUAGGGGAGACUGGAACUCCUGGUGUAGCGGUGGAAUGCGCAGAUAUCAGGAAGAACACCGGUGGCGAAGGCGGGUCUCUGGGCCGUUACUGACGCUGAGGAGCGAAAGCGUGGGGAGCGAACAGG
rnacentral:rRNA from 1 species